UACGAAGGGGGCGAGCGUUGUUCGGAUUUACUGGGCGUAAAGCGCACGUAGGCGGAUGUGUCAGUCAGGGGUGAAAUCCCGGGGCUCAACCUCGGAACUGCCUUUGAUACAGCACGUCUCGAGUCCGGAAGAGGUGGGUGGAAUUCCUAGUGUAGAGGUGAAAUUCGUAGAUAUUAGGAAGAACACCAGUGGCGAAGGCGGCUCACUGGCCCGGAACUGACGCUGAGGUGCGAAAGCGUGGGGAGCAAACAGG
rnacentral:rRNA from 1 species